GGGGUUGUGGCUCAGUGGUAGACCUCUUGCCCCACAUGCAUGGAGCACUAGGUUCGAUCCUUAGCACCACA
rnacentral:tRNA from 1 species